AUUGAACGCUGGCGGCAGGCUUAACACAUGCAAGUCGAGCGGAGUGAUGGUGCUUGCACUAUCACUUAGCGGCGGACGGGUGAGUAAUGCUUAGGAAUCUGCCUAUUAGUGGGGGACGACAUCUCGAAAGGGAUGCUAAUACCGCAUACGUCCUACGGGAGAAAGCAGGGGAUCACUUGUGACCUUGCGCUAAUAGAUGAGCCUAAGUCGGAUUAGCUAGUUGGUGGGGUAAAGGCCUACCAAGGCGACGAUCUGUAGCGGGUCUGAGAGGAUGAUCCGCCACACUGGGACAGAGACACGGCCCAGACUCCUACGGGAGGCAGCAGUGGGGAAUAUUGGACAAUGGGGGGAACCCUGAUCCAGCCAUGCCGCGUGUGCGAAGAAGGCCUUAUGGUUGUAAAGCACUUUAAGCGAGGAGGAGGCUCUUUUGGUUAAUACCCAAGAUGAGUGGACGUUACUCGCAGAAUAAGCACCGGCUAACUCUGUGCCAGCCGCCGCUGUAA
rnacentral:rRNA from 1 species